rnacentral:rRNA from 1 species
CCUACGGGAGGCAGCAGUGGGGAAUAUUGGACAAUGGGCGAAAGCCUGAUCCAGCAAUGCCGCGUGAGUGAUGAAGGCCUUAGGGUUGUAAAGCUCUUUUACCAGGGAUGAUAAUGACAGUACCUGGAGAAUAAGCUCCGGCUAACUCCGUGCCAGCAGCCGCGGUAAUACGGAGGGAGCUAGCGUUGUUCGGAAUUACUGGGCGUAAAGCGUGCGUAGGCGGCUAUUCAAGUCAGAGGUGAAAGCCCGGGGCUCAACCCCGGAACGGCCUUUGAAACUAGGUAGCUAGAAUCUUGGAGAGGUUAGUGGAAUUCCGAGUGUAGAGGUGAAAUUCGUAGAUAUUCGGAAGAACACCAGUGGCGAAGGCGACUAACUGGACAAGUAUUGACGCUGAGGUACGAAAGCGUGGGGAGCAAACAGGAUUAGAUACCCUGGUAGUCCACGCCGUAAACGAUGAUAACUAGCUGUCCGGGCACUUGGUGCUUGGGUGGCGCAGCUAACGCAUUAAGUUAUCCGCCUGGGGAGUACGGUCGCAAGAUUAAAACUUAAAGGAAUUGACGG